GACGAACGCAGGCGGCGUGCCUAAUACAUGCAAGUAGAACGCUGAAGAGAGGAGCUUGCUCUUCUUGGAAGAGUUGCGAACGGGUGAGUAACGCGUAGGUAACCUGCCUUGUAGCGGGGGAUAACUAUUGGAAACGAUAGCUAAUACCGCAUAACAAUGGGUGACCCAUGUCAUUCAUUUAAAAGGGGCAACUGCUCCACUACAAGAUGGACCUGCGUUGUAUUAGCUAGUAGGUGAGGUAACGGCUCACCUAGGCGACGAUACAUAGCCGACCUGAGAGGGUGAUCGGCCACACUGGGACUGAGACACGGCCCAGACUCCUACGGGAGGCAGCAGUAGGGAAUCUUCGGCAAUGGGGGCAACCCUGACCGAGCAACGCCGCGUGAGUGAAGAAGGUUUUCGGAUCGUAAAGCUCUGUUGUAAGUCAAGAACGAGUGUGAGAGUGGAAAGUUCACACUGUGACGGUAGCUUACCAGAAAGGGACGGCUAACUACGUGCCAGCAGCCGCGGUAAUACGUAGGUCCCGAGCGUUGUCCGGAUUUAUUGGGCGUAAAGCGAGCGCAGGCGGUUUGAUAAGUCUGAAGUUAAAGGCUGUGGCUCAACCAUAGUUUGCUUUGGAAACUGUCAAACUUGAGUGCAGAAGGGGAGAGUGGAAUUCCAUGUGUAGCGGUGAAAUGCGUAGAUAUAUGGAGGAACACCGGUGGCGAAAGCGGCUCUCUGGUCUGUAACUGACGCUGAGGCUCGAAAGCGUGGGGAGCGAACAGG
rnacentral:rRNA from 1 species